GUCCUAGUUUUGGCUGGACAUAUACUUAUAUUGGAACGAUACAAAGUAGAUUAUCAUGGCCCCUGCACAAGGACGAUACGCAAAAUUGUGAACCAUUCCACAAAAAA